AAAAUUAGGAAAAAAUCAGAAAAAAUUAGGAAGAAUUAGAAAAAAUGAGGAAAGAUUGAAAAUAAAUCUACGAUGGUGUAACUUCAGUUGCAUUUCAUAAAACACUUCCAGGACCAGAGGAAGAUGCGAUAACCCCCCAGAUCAGAGAAAAUUAAGAGAAUUCAUCUAAUUUAUAAUCUCCAAUGCGUGACAUUCGGCAACAUGUACAAAAUGCAGCGUACUCUACUCUCCUCCUUGGAUCUCGAGACAUUUUUCAAAGGUUGUCUUGCUUGCUCAGAGCCCCACAGGUUACCUGCAUCUCGGAGGCAUCCAUACAGCUCUGUGCGACACGGUGCAGCUAUUCAUUGGCUCAGGCAAACUAAGGAAAUUCUAUUCUACGUUUAGAAGACACGGAUCAAACAGGACUCGCACUAGAUGCUACCGGUAAACUUCAAGAGGAUCUAUUUUGGGCUGAAAUCAUCCCAUACAAAGACCUGACAAGGAGUGGAUCUGUAGGCCCUUACUUUCAAUCAAAACGUAUGAAAUUAUACA
rnacentral:misc_RNA from 1 species